GGGUUGUGAGGUUAAGCGACUAAGCGUACACGGUGGAUGCCCUGGCAGUCAGAGGCGAUGAAGGACGUGCUAAUCUGCGAUAAGCGUCGGUAAGGUGAUAUGAACCGUUAUAACCGGCGAUUUCCGAAUGGGGAAACCCAGUGUGUUUCGACACACUAUCAUUAACUGAAUCCAUAGGUUAAUGAGGCGAACCGGGGGAACUGAAACAUCUAAGUACCCCGAGGAAAAGAAAUCAACCGAGAUUCCCCCAGUAGCGGCGAGCGAACGGGGAGCAGCCCAGAGCCUGAAUCAGUGUGUGUGUUAGUGGAAGCGUCUGGAAAGGCGCGCGAUACAGGGUGACAGCCCCGUACACAAAAAUGCACAUGCUGUGAGCUCGAUGAGUAGGGCGGGACACGUGGUAUCCUGUCUGAAUAUGGGGGGACCAUCCUCCAAGGCUAAAUACUCCUGACUGACCGAUAGUGAACCAGUACCGUGAGGGAAAGGCGAAAAGAACCCCGGCGAGGGGAGUGAAAAAGAACCUGAAACCGUGUACGUACAAGCAGUGGGAGCACGCUUAGGCGUGUGACUGCGUACCUUUUGUAUAAUGGGUCAGCGACUUAUAUUCUGUAGCAAGGUUAACCGAAUAGGGGAGCCGAAGGGAAACCGAGUCUUAACUGGGCGUUAAGUUGCAGGGUAUAGACCCGAAACCCGGUGAUCUAGCCAUGGGCAGGUUGAAGGUUGGGUAACACUAACUGGAGGACCGAACCGACUAAUGUUGAAAAAUUAGCGGAUGACUUGUGGCUGGGGGUGAAAGGCCAAUCAAACCGGGAGAUAGCUGGUUCUCCCCGAAAGCUAUUUAGGUAGCGCCUCGUGAAUUCAUCUCCGGGGGUAGAGCACUGUUUCGGCAAGGGGGUCAUCCCGACUUACCAACCCGAUGCAAACUGCGAAUACCGGAGAAUGUUAUCACGGGAGACACACGGCGGGUGCUAACGUCCGUCGUGAAGAGGGAAACAACCCAGACCGCCAGCUAAGGUCCCAAAGUCAUGGUUAAGUGGGAAACGAUGUGGGAAGGCCCAGACAGCCAGGAUGUUGGCUUAGAAGCAGCCAUCAUUUAAAGAAAGCGUAAUAGCUCACUGGUCGAGUCGGCCUGCGCGGAAGAUGUAACGGGGCUAAACCAUGCACCGAAGCUGCGGCAGCGACGCUUAUGCGUUGUUGGGUAGGGGAGCGUUCUGUAAGCCUGUGAAGGUGUGCUGUGAGGCAUGCUGGAGGUAUCAGAAGUGCGAAUGCUGACAUAAGUAACGAUAAAGCGGGUGAAAAGCCCGCUCGCCGGAAGACCAAGGGUUCCUGUCCAACGUUAAUCGGGGCAGGGUGAGUCGACCCCUAAGGCGAGGCCGAAAGGCGUAGUCGAUGGGAAACAGGUUAAUAUUCCUGUACUUGGUGUUACUGCGAAGGGGGGACGGAGAAGGCUAUGUUGGCCGGGCGACGGUUGUCCCGGUUUAAGCGUGUAGGCUGGUUUUCCAGGCAAAUCCGGAAAAUCAAGGCUGAGGCGUGAUGACGAGGCACUACGGUGCUGAAGCAACAAAUGCCCUGCUUCCAGGAAAAGCCUCUAAGCAUCAGGUAACAUCAAAUCGUACCCCAAACCGACACAGGUGGUCAGGUAGAGAAUACCAAGGCGCUUGAGAGAACUCGGGUGAAGGAACUAGGCAAAAUGGUGCCGUAACUUCGGGAGAAGGCACGCUGAUAUGUAGGUGAAGUCCCUUGCGGAUGGAGCUGAAAUCAGUCGAAGAUACCAGCUGGCUGCAACUGUUUAUUAAAAACACAGCACUGUGCAAACACGAAAGUGGACGUAUACGGUGUGACGCCUGCCCGGUGCCGGAAGGUUAAUUGAUGGGGUCAGCGCAAGCGAAGCUCUUGAUCGAAGCCCCGGUAAACGGCGGCCGUAACUAUAACGGUCCUAAGGUAGCGAAAUUCCUUGUCGGGUAAGUUCCGACCUGCACGAAUGGCGUAAUGAUGGCCAGGCUGUCUCCACCCGAGACUCAGUGAAAUUGAACUCGCUGUGAAGAUGCAGUGUACCCGCGGCAAGACGGAAAGACCCCGUGAACCUUUACUAUAGCUUGACACUGAACAUUGAGCCUUGAUGUGUAGGAUAGGUGGGAGGCUUGGAAGUGUGGACGCCAGUCUGCAUGGAGCCGACCUUGAAAUACCACCCUUUAAUGUUUGAUGUUCUAACGUUGACCCGUAAUCCGGGUUGCGGACAGUGUCUGGUGGGUAGUUUGACUGGGGCGGUCUCCUCCUAAAGAGUAACGGAGGAGCACGAAGGUUGGCUAAUCCUGGUCGGACAUCAGGAGGUUAGUGCAAUGGCAUAAGCCAGCUUGACUGCGAGCGUGACGGCGCGAGCAGGUGCGAAAGCAGGUCAUAGUGAUCCGGUGGUUCUGAAUGGAAGGGCCAUCGCUCAACGGAUAAAAGGUACUCCGGGGAUAACAGGCUGAUACCGCCCAAGAGUUCAUAUCGACGGCGGUGUUUGGCACCUCGAUGUCGGCUCAUCACAUCCUGGGGCUGAAGUAGGUCCCAAGGGUAUGGCUGUUCGCCAUUUAAAGUGGUACGCGAGCUGGGUUUAGAACGUCGUGAGACAGUUCGGUCCCUAUCUGCCGUGGGCGCUGGAGAACUGAGGGGGGCUGCUCCUAGUACGAGAGGACCGGAGUGGACGCAUCACUGGUGUUCGGGUUGUCAUGCCAAUGGCACUGCCCGGUAGCUAAAUGCGGAAGAGAUAAGUGCUGAAAGCAUCUAAGCACGAAACUUGCCCCGAGAUGAGUUCUCCCUGAC
rnacentral:rRNA from 1 species